CCUACGGGGGGCAGCAGUGAGGAAUAUUGGUCAAUGGACGAGAGUCUGAACCAGCCAAGUAGCGUGAAGGAUGACUGCCCUAUGGGUUGUAAACUUCUUUUAUAUGGGAAUAAAGUGUUGAACGUGUGGGAUUUUGUAUGUACCAUAUGAAUAAGGAUCGGCUAACUCCGUGCCCGCAGCCGCGGUAAUACGGAGGUUCCGAGCGUUAUCCGGAUUUCAUGGGUUUAAAGGGAGCGUAGGUGGAUUGUUAAGUCAGUUGUGAAAGUUUGCGGCUCAACCGUAAAAUUGCAGUUGAAACUGGCAGUCUUGAGGACAGUAGAGGUGGGCGGAAUUCGUGGUGUAGCGGUGAAAUGCUUAGAUAUCACGAAGAACUCCGAUUGCGAAGGCAGUUCACUGGACUGCAACUGACACUGAGGCUCGAAAGUGUGGGUAUCAAACAGGAUUAGAUACCCCUGUAGUC
rnacentral:rRNA from 1 species